GAUGAACGCUAGCUACAGGCUUAACACAUGCAAGUCGAGGGGCAGCGCAGUGUAGCAAUACAUGGGCGGCGACCGGCGCACGGGUGCGUAACGCGUAUCCAACCUUCCCGUUACUCAGGGAUAGCCUUCCGAAAGGGAGAUUAAUACCUGAUGGUGUUGAAAUUCCGCAUGUUAUUUCAACUAAAGAUUUAUCGGUAACGGAUGGGGAUGCGUGACAUUAGGUAGAUGGCGGGGUAACGCCCACCAUGCCUACGAUGUCUAGGGGUUCUGAGAGGAAGGUCCCCCACACUGGAACUGAGACACGGUCCAGACUCCUACGGGAGGCAGCAGUGAGGAAUAUUGGUCAAUGGUCGGAAGACUGAACCAGCCAAGUAGCGUGAAGGAUGAAGGUUCUAUGGAUUGUAAAACUUCUUUUAUACGGGAAUAACACCAUCUACGUGUAGAUGCCUGCAUGUACCGUAUGAAUAAGCAUCGGCUAAACUCCGUGCCAGCAG
rnacentral:rRNA from 1 species